ACGCUCGACACCUACUGGAGGCAGCAGUAGGGAAUCUUCCACAAUGGACGCAAGUCUGAUGGAGCAACGCCGCGUGAGUGAAGAAGGUCUUCGGAUCGUAAAACUCUGUUGUUAGAGAAGAACACGAGUGAGAGUAACUGUUCAUUCGAUGACGGUAUCUAACCAGCAAGUCACGGCUAACUACGUGUCAGCACGGCCGGUACGGUUAAUCGUAGGACGGGCGGGCGUCGGACGAAGGC
rnacentral:rRNA from 1 species